AGAGUUUGAUCAUGGCUCAGGAUGAACGCUGGCGGCGUGCCUAACACAUGCAAGUCGAGCGGUAUAUAUCUAAACAAAACUUCGGUCUAGUGAGGGUAUAGAGAGCGGCGGACGGGUGAGUAACGCGUAGGCAACCUGCCCCAUACACAGGGAUAGCCUCGGGAAACCGGGAUUAAAACCUGAUAAUGCGAGAAGUUCACAUGGACAACUCGCCAAAGAUUUAUCGGUAUGGGAUGGGCCUGCGUCUGAUUAGCUAGUUGGUGGGGUAACGGCCUACCAAGGCGACGAUCAGUAGCCGACCUGAGAGGGUAAUCGGCCACAUUGGAACUGAGACACGGUCCAAACUCCUACGGGAGGCAGCAGUGGGGAAUAUUGCACAAUGGGCGAAAGCCUGAUGCAGCAACGCCGCGUGAGCGAUGAAGGCCUUUGGGUCGUAAAGCUCUGUCCUUGGGGAAGAAAAAAAUGACGGUACCCUUGGAGGAAGCCCCGGCUAACUACGUGCCAGCAGCCGCGGUAAUACGUAGGGGGCAAGCGUUAUCCGGAAUUAUUGGGCGUAAAGAGUGCGUAGGUGGUUUUGUAAGCGCGGGGUGAAAGGCAAUAGCUCAACUAUUGUAAGCCUUGCGAACUGUAAGACUUGAGUGCAGGAGAGGAAAGCGGAAUUCCUAGUGUAGCGGUGAAAUGCGUAGAUAUUAGGAGGAACACCAGUGGCGAAGGCGGCUUUCUGGACUGUAACUGACACUGAGGCACGAAAGCGUGGGGAGCAAACAGGAUUAGAUACCCUGGUAGUCCACGCCGUAAACGAUGAGCACUAGGUGUCGGGGCCGCAAGGCUUCGGUGCCGCAGUUAACGCAUUAAGUGCUCCGCCUGGGGAGUACGCACGCAAGUGUGAAACUCAAAGGAAUUGACGG
rnacentral:rRNA from 1 species